UUUUCAAUUACUUUCCCCAAACAAUGGAUAUCUUUUUCUCUUCUCUGGCUUUCUCACCCAAACGGCUUAAAACUCUAUCUCUAGGUUUUAUUUAUUUCUUCGUUUUUGAUUUCAACUGCUGAUGUUGGAAAAGUGACAACGAUUCGCUUUUCUUCUUCUCUUAGUUUGCAAUUUCUUGGUUUAGCAGCUGCGUCGGGUCUGAAAUUUCUGGUGGAAUAUGGGAUCAGCAAUUGAAGAAAGAAGAAGAUGAACUCAGGAAGAAUAAGAGAGAAACGUCAACCUCUUUCCAGAGAUCGGAACCCUGACUCCGGCAUUCCCGGCGAUUUGAAAUCCGACUCCGACAGCUCACCAGACCGCGACUCUAGUUCUUUGUGUUAGGUAUAAUCCUAUGUUCAGGCAAGGAGCAGGAUAGAUUAGCUGAAGGGUUGGGUCACAGAAGUGUAGCUAAGGUACGGAAACUAUCCACCUGAAGCAACUUGUGGAUAUAGUUGCAAGCAUAAGAAAACAUUGGAGGAGGAUCCUUCUGCUUUUGCAUUUGAUGAAGUUUAUGAUGACAUGAAACACAGAGACAUUGUUCCUAAACUGCAAGAUCGUCAAGACCUCAAGGAUCUGGUAAAGGGGUUUCAGACACUCCCGUGACGCUCCAUAUUGCAAAUGCAGAGCUUGCUCCAACUCACCCAAUCUGUCUAGGUCUGGCACUGAACUGAUGAGUUAUGUGCAGGCUCCAAAAACUUCACAAGAUAAAAUGGCUACUGAGCUUCAAGACAAAUAGAAAAUACUUGCAAAUCAGAUGAUCAAAAUGCAAAGUUUUGUCUAUUGUUUUUGAUUCGUUGUUGAUCCUUACCUGUAACAUUGUUUUAAGACUGCUAUGUUUUUAUAAAUCAAUUUGUAGUUUACAAAUUAUGGAAUAUAUUUUUUACCAAUUAAAAGGAGGAUUAACAAAGGAGUGAUAUUUAUGUUUAAAAAUUAAAUUAUAUUUUAUAUUUAUAAAGUUCCUAUUUAAAUAAAUUAAAGAUUUUCAUAUAAUUAUAGGGUUUGGAGUAUAGUGUCUCGGGGUUUAGUUAGAUUUAAGACGUAAGACCAAACUUUUAGAUUAAAUUUAAAAUUUGAAAUUAACUAAUGAAAAAAGAGUUUUAAAAUUUUUAGUUAUAGUUUAUGGUAUAUGAUAAAUUUGGGAUAUGAUAUAUAUAAGUAUAGUUUAUGGUUUGAGGUUUAAAAUUAAUAUUUGAAAUUAAAUUUAUAAAAAUAUAAAUUUUGAAUGAAACUUAAAAUCUAAGAUUAAAAUAAGAAAAUAUUUAAGUUUUGAGGACUGUGUUUAAGUUUUAGUUUUUAGGGUUUAAACCCUAAUCCCUAAACAUAAACUUUAAAACUUCAUUUUUUCAUAAUAUAGCUAUAAUCUUAAAUUUAAAUUCAAAAUUUAAUUAUUUUAAAAUACAAUAUAUAAUUUAAAUUCUAAACUUUAUACACUAAAUCAUAAAUCUACACCCUAAAUCUAAUCUCUAAACCCCAAAAUUAAACUCUACAUACAAAGUCAUAAAUUUAAUCUUUUCAAAUUUAGUAAAUCACACAACAUCAAAACUCAAAUACAAAAAUAUAGAUUUCAAAUUUUAAAUUAUAAUAUCAAAUCAAUUAAAGUUUAGCUAAUUUAAUAAUAACUAUAAAUAAAUAAAAAGAUAAUAUGUAUUUUUUUUUGAGCCAUUGAUUGAUUUAGAUCAAAAGUCCAAAAUCAUUCUCUCAGCUAUUCUCAUCCUUUUCUCAAUUGGUUUGGCAUGGAUCACCUUUUCCACCCUUGGAUAAUAUUGAAUCAACGCUCAAGAUUAAUUGUACUUUUACAUUUGUUUUUAAUUAUUUUUGCGAUCUGAGAUCUCGUGUUUGAGAAGAGAGAGAGAGUUACAGAAGCCAAAGAGAUAGAGAGAGAUGGAGUUCGAGAUGGUAGAGUUGUGUCGGAGAAGACAUGGGAAGGGGCUCGAUUCCGUCGCACUCCGUUCGAUUCUGUCGUAGUCUUCACCACCACCACCAUGGUCACCUCUUUCUCUCUCUCUGUCUCUCUCUCUCUGUUUUGAUUAUGUUUUUCUUUGUGGGCAGAGCUGGUGGUCGUGAGCAGAGGAGACAAUACGGUGGUACCAAGGACUGGUAUGUCUCUGGUCAAGAUCUGCGUUGGCUUCACCUCCUCACCACCACCACAGAUUUGUUAAGGAGCAGGGAAGUAAAAUCAGUGGUGUGACAUAGCGGCGACUCCGGUCAAGCGUGAUGCAGCAGUGGUGCAAGCCGGUGGUGGGGUGGUGGUCGUGCGGUGGAGAUGCGGCGGGGACUGAAGAAGAUCGUCUGAUUGUAGUUUGGUGGGUGUAUUAGGUUUAGUUAGGGUUAAUUACUAAACCAAUUUGUAACUGUAAACCAAUGUAAUUGUAAACCAAUGUAAUUGUAAACCAAAAUUCAAUUUAUAAAAAUACCAAUUUAUUAUU